rnacentral:rRNA from 1 species
AUUUGACGGUGCCCCACCCACCUAGAGGAGCCUGUUCUAUAAUCGACAACCCCCGAUAUACCUUACCGCUUCUAGCCUACUCAGUCUGUAUACCUCCGUCGCAAGCUUACCUUGUGAAUGCCACAUAAUAAGCUAAAAGGCUACCACCCACACGUCAGGUCAAGGUGCAAUUUAUGUAGCGGAAAGUAAUGGGCUACAAUUUCUCUAACAGAACAUACGAAAUACUAUCUGCAAUACUUAGUCACGAAGGUGGAUUUAGUAGUAAAAAGAAAUCAGAGCGUUCUUUUUAACCCGGCUCUGGAGCGUGUACACACCGCCCGUCCCCCUCUCCCACACACCCCCCCCAGGAGAGAUAAGUCGUAACAUGGUAAGUGUACCGGAAGGUGCACUUGGAACAGCAAA